rnacentral:lncRNA from 1 species
GAAUGUGUUAUGAGGAAUUCAUAUGCAGUAAAAAUAGGAAGUAUAGUGAAAUGCAAAUUUCUCUAACAAACAACAAUAACACAACUUACCUGAUGCAGAUUUGCCUCGGAUUCAUUUCCCAGAGGCUAACUGAUGUAGAGAUCAUUAUGUCCUCCUGAUGAUGAUCAAAUGGUUGAAAUAUGUCCAAAUUCCAGUCAUCUACUACUGUAUUAGAAGUUGACCCAAAACUGAAACCGGAGAAUGAAACGGAGUUGAAGCUGGAUUUCCUCGAUUCAUCUAAUAAAGCAAUUCGACGUAGUUCCUCUCUAUCAAGCACAGCUUCCACCAAUCUCUCCCAAUUGUCAUAGUUAUUAGACAUCUUUAAAUAAGUACAAAUCUUGCAAGCUGAUCUGAAAUUAUUAAGAACUCAGGUCUGCCCUUAGA